CGUGUAGGCGGUCUAUCGAGUCAGGCGUGAAAGCCCCGGGCUUAACCUGGGAACUGCGUUUGAUACUGAUAGACUAGAGGUUGGAAGAGGAGAGUGGAAUUCCCAGUGUAGAGGUGAAAUUCGUAGAUAUUGGGAAGAACACCAGUGGCGAAGGCGGCUCCCUGGUCCAUACCUGACGCUGAGGCGCGAAAGCGUGGGGAGCAAACAGGAUUAGAUACCCUGGUAGUCC
rnacentral:rRNA from 1 species